rnacentral:rRNA from 1 species
AACGAACGUUAGCGGCGCGCUUAACACAUGCAAGUCGAACGAGAAAGGGCUUCGGCCCCGGUACAGUGGCGCACGGGUGAGUAACACGUGGGUAACCUUCCCUCGAGCGGGGGAUAACGUUCCGAAAGGAACGCUAAUACCGCAUAAGACCACGGGCUCGAAAGAGCCUGGGGUAAAAGUAGGCCUCUGAAUUCACGCUUACACUCGAGGAUGGGCCCGCGGCCCAUCAUGGUAGUUGGUAGGGUAACGGCCUACCAAGCCGAAGAGGGGUAGCUGGUCUUAGAGGCUGAUCAGCCACACUGGAGCUGAGACACGGUCCAGACUACUACGGGAGGCAGCAGUGGCGAAUCUUGCGCAAUGGGCGAAAGCCUGACGCAGCGACGCCGCGUGGGUGAUGAAGGCCUUCGGGUUGUAAAGCUCUGUGGGGAGAGACGAAUAAGACGUGGCUAACAUCCACGGCGAUGACGGUAUCUCCUUAGCAAGCACCGGCUAACUCUGUGCCAGCAGCCGCGGUAAAAC